CUGGCAAGUGCCCGUCGUGCCUGCCAGCAGCUGUGUGUGUGAAACACAACGAUCAGAUGUGCUGCCAGUCUGGGGAGCCUGAAGUUUUCCUGAGGCAGAAGCCUGAAGAUAUUGAGGGCUGUCAUUCAGAAGUUCAUGACAGAGCAGCGAACACGUUCCUUGUGGAAACUCCGCAUCAGAAGGAAUUGCAAGCCCCUUCUCAGGAGGAAAGACAAGCACAAGCUGAAACACCCAAGCUGCAGUCAGUGGCAGAACACCGCUGGAGGAAGGAUCACGCCUCGUCAGCGGGUGUUGGCUUUCCAAGGCUGCUCAAGUACCCUGCCAGAGUAAUUAGUAGUGAUCUGAAUCAGACAUCUCUAUGUACACGUCUGUCUACAAUGGUGACAUGUUUCCUCAUACAUCUGCAGUCAACAGCAUUUUUGAGGUGGAUACACUCCCUAGCCCGCAGUAAUCCGCUGCUUUGUGCUUGUUGUCACUCUUGUUUGUCCCAGAUAGAUCCUCGCGUUGUCUCCAUGUUGCUCUGGGAUCCCAGCCUAGCUGGGAGCAUCACUGAAAAGUGAAGGACAAAGCUGGAGGGAAAAGUGUUUAAUUUAGCUGGGACAAGUCAGACUUUGCAUCUACCAAAGAAAAGAGCAGAUUUUGAUCCCACUGUGUUUAUAUUUGUUUUGAAAGGAAAAAAUGGGCAGUUUAUUUGUUGCAACAUGCGCAUUUCACUCUCAGCUCUAGUAGCUAGGUAAACAUUUCCCAGUAAUUUCCCAUAAGAAAAAAGCUGGAAAAUUGGGGAAAUAGUGUUGUUCUUUCACCAAAAAACAUUUACAACAUACAGCAUGGAACUUGCCUUUUCUCUGAGUACUCCAUAAAAUGUUAUGGCAUAGGUGUAGCAACAGUUGACCAGGUCCAGACACCGCCUCUCACUCCGAGCGGCCAGGCUGAGGUCAUGUCUCAGUUAAUUUUAUUUUAUUAAUUUGUUUUAUAAUUACUUGCUUUCACAAAAGGCUUGUAAUACCGGAUGGAAAGAGGGGUGAAAUUCACCACUGCACUUCUGUACAUGCUUCCUCCAGGAGGGGGCCACAAGGGGCGUGGGUGCCCCUCGUGCCUUUGCAGUGCCAACCAAGGACAGUCCACAGGGCUCCUGAGGCCAUAGGAAGGUGUAUGAAAGAAAGGCAGAGCCCUACCAGCCUGGCAGGAGACAGAGAGAAAGGGUGGGAGCUGACCUUUCCUAGAAGGGAGCUAUGGAGGCUCAGGCCCUGUGGAGCCAGCAGCUGGGACAGGAGGGGUGUGGAUGAGAGGGAGGGAGAUGCAGACUGGCAGUACCUGUUUGUGCUACUUCACUGUGACUGCUCGUGCAACUCUUCAGACUUACCUUUGUGUGUUUCAUUUUUUAAUCAUCCCCCAAAAUCUCAAGUAAACUUGCUUGUCUCACCCUGGCUAGGGCCAGCCCUCUCAUCUCUGCCCUGUGUGCCAGCCAUGCUCUGUCUCCUUCCCCAGAAAGCUCCCUUCCCUCUGCCAGCCUGUGAUGGCUGUCCACACCAGAAGCGCACACUGAUUCCGCCAGGCUGCCUUUCCCCUCUUCAACCACAUCCAAUGAAAUGUGGACAUCUGCACAUAGUGGUGUGAUUUAGUUCAGCCUCCAAUAUUUCACGCUUCCAGGAUUACUGUGGUAUUACUACAUUAUUCAUGGUGCUCCCAUGAGGUGCAUGAAUGUGUGCAAGGUGUCCUGCAGAAAUUUCCAAGCUUUGAACUGCUGAAUGGUUUGCUAGAAAGUGGAAUAUGACAAUCCCACCCUUGGGUGGGAUGGGAUCACAUUUUCUGUUGCUUGUUCCCAGCAUGGAUUGUGUUUCCCUGCAGUGCUGGUAGACCAGAUUUAUUCAUGUACCUGCUGUCUUGUGUUUCAUUUGCUUUGGCAACUCCCUAACUCCUGGUCAUAGUGGGACAUCACUGCAUGCCCGGCCGCCUGCAUGACUGCCAGGACAGUGAUAACCCACCUUGUCUCUUGAGGGUGGCUCAGAUUACAGCCAAAGAAAAAAUAUUGUCUGCUCCAUUGGUCCCCAGGCCCAACACUUGUAUGUGACACGUUACCUGCUACGUACUCCCACAUGACUCAUGACCGCAAAAAUAAUAAAAAACUAAUGGGUAAGCUGGCCUACAAGGUAU
ensembl:lncRNA